UACGUUGGGCGCAAGCGUUGUCCGGAAUUAUUGGGCGUAAAGAGCUCGUAGGCGGCUUGUCACGUCGGAUGUGAAAGCCCGGGGCUUAACCCCGGGUCUGCAUUCGAUACGGGCAGGCUAGAGUGUGGUAGGGGAGAUCGGAAUUCCUGGUGUAGCGGUGAAAUGCGCAGAUAUCAGGAGGAGCACCGGUGGCGAAGGCGGCACUCUGGGACGGUACUGACGCUGAGACGCGAAAGCGUGGGGAGCGAACAGG
rnacentral:rRNA from 1 species